CUGUUCAAACCAAUCAUUUUAUUUAAAAUGUUCUAACAUCCCAAAAUUUCAAAAUUUUACAUGUGCAUUGCAUCCAUGAGCAUCAUGCCACAAUUGCAUAUUUGAAUUCAAAUUUUAAUCUCAAAAGGCUUUGGAAAGAUUUUUAUUUCGUUAUAAACCCUAGGGUUUACACCCAUUUGAGCUUUGGAUCUUCAAACCAUUAAAGUUUAUAUAUAAAAGGGGUUUAUUGCAUAUAUAAGCUAUCCCAUAAUUUUUGGAUAAUUAUUUGGAGUUGAAAAAGUAUUUUAUUCAAAUAGAUAUAUAGCCUUAAAGGCAUUUAUAGGGCAAAUGUAUUUUUAUAUAUAUUAUUUUGAGGGGAAACUACUCCCAAAAGUUGUAUCAUGGUGGAACAUGAUUUUACAAAUUUGGACCAAUUUGGAGUUCAGAAUCAAAAGAUAUCAAAGAAUUGAGAAAAAACAGAAAAAGAAAAGGGUAAAAGAAGAAAAAAAGGGAAAACCGGACCGGCCUGGCCAAAAUGGGCUGAACUGGCCCAGUCCGACCGCGUCCGACCGAGCC
rnacentral:lncRNA from 1 species